UCGCACGAGAAAGUGGAGCAUCCAUGAGUAAAGUGGCGUACGGGUGAGUAACACGUGGAUCAUCUACCUCUUAGUGGGGAAUAACCCUGGGAAACCGGGGCUAAUACCGCAUAAGCCUGCAAAGGGAAAGCAGCAAUGCGCUGAGAGAGGAGUCCGCGGCCGAUUAGCUAGUUGGUAGGGUAAUGGCCUACCAAGGCAAUGAUCGGUAGCCGGCCUGAGAGGGCACACGGCCACACUGGCACUGAAACACGGGCCAGACUCCUACGGGAGGCAGCAGUGGGGAAUCUUGCACAAUGGAGGAAACUCUGAUGCAGCGACGCCGCGUGAGCGAUGAAGCCCUUCGGGGUGUAAAGCUCUUUCGACGGGAACGAUAAUGACGGUACCCGGAGAAGAAGCUGCGGCUAACUACGUGCCAGCAGCCGCGGUAAUACGUAGGCAGCAAGCGUUGUUCGGAAUUACUGGGCGUAAAGAGUGUGUAGGCGGUUCUCUAUGUUCGGUGUGAAAUCUCCCGGCUUAACUGGGAGGGUGCGCCGAAAACUGGAGGGCUUGAGUAUGGGAGAGGAAAGCGGAAUUCCUGGUGUAGCGGUGAAAUGCGUAGAUAUCAGGAGGAACACCUGCGGUGUAGACGGCUUUCUGGGCCAUCACUGACGCUGAGACACGAAAGCGUGGGUAGCAAACAGGAUUAGAUACCCUGGUAGUCCACGCCCUAAACGAUGCAUACUUGGUGUGAGCCGUCCAUUCGGUUCGUGCCGGAGCUAACGCGU
rnacentral:rRNA from 1 species